ensembl:rRNA 5S_rRNA 5S ribosomal RNA
AGCCACAGCCAUAUCACCCUGCAGCCCAAGUCUGGUUGCCCACUGAAGCUAAGUAGGGUUCAGCCUGGUCAGUACCUGCAUGGGAGACCUCCUGGGAAAACUAGGUUGCUGUUGGAA